rfam:Chlorocebus sabaeus isolate 1994-021 chromosome 8, whole genome shotgun sequence.
GAUUACAAAAGGUAAAAGGAACUUGGCAAAUCUUAUCCCACCUAUUUACCAAAAACAUCACCUCUAGCAUUGCCAGUAUUAGAGGCACUGCUUGUCCAGUGACAUAUGUUCAAUGACCGCAGUAUCCUGACUGUGCAAAGGUAGCAGAAUCACUUGUUCCCUAAAUAGGGACUUAUAUGAAUGGCCACAUGAGGGUUCAGCUGUCUCUUCCUUUUAAUC